rnacentral:rRNA from 1 species
GCACCUUUCGGGGUGAGUGGCAGACGGGUGAGUAACGCGUGGGAACGUGCCCUUCAGUUCGGAAUAACCCAGGGAAACUUGGGCUAAUACCGGAUACGUGCGAGAGCAGAAAGAUUUAUCGCUGAAGGAUCGGCCCGCGUCUGAUUAGCUAGUUGGUAGGGUAAUGGCCUACCAAGGCGACGAUCAGUAGCUGGUCUGAGAGGAUGAUCAGCCACAUUGGGACUGAGACACGGCCCAAACUCCUACGGGAGGCAGCAGUGGGGAAUAUUGGACAAUGGGCGCAAGCCUGAUCCAGCCAUGCCGCGUGAGUGAUGAAGGCCUUAGGGUUGUAAAGCUCUUUCGGCGGGGACGAUAAUGACGGUACCCGCAGAAGAAGCCCCGGCUAACUUCGUGCCAGCAGCCGCGGUAAUACGAAGGGGGCUAGCGUUGUUCGGAAUCACUGGGCGUAAAGGGCGCGUAGGCGGCCAAUCAAGUCGGGGGUGAAAGCCUGUGGCUCAACCACAGAAUUGCCUUCGAUACUGUUUGGCUCGAGACCGGAAGAGGUAAGUGGAACUGCGAGUGUAGAGGUGAAAUUCGUAGAUAUUCGCAAGAACACCAGUGGCGAAGGCGGCUUACUGGUCCGGUUCUGACGCUGAGGCGCGAAAGCGUGGGGAGCAAACAGGAUUAGAUACCCUGGUAGUCCACGCCGUAAACGAUGAAUGCCAGCCGUUGGGCAGCUUGCUGCUCAGUGGCGCAGCUAACGCUUUAAGCAUUCCGCCUGGGGAGUACGGUCGC